rnacentral:piRNA from 1 species
UAAACACCCUACCCAUGUACUGGGCCUCGAUG